rnacentral:misc_RNA from 1 species
UAUGAAGAACGCAGUGAAAUGCGAUAAGUAAUGUGAAUUGCAGAAUUCAGUGAAUCAUCGAAUCUUUGAACGCACAUUGCGCCCGCCAGUAUUCUGGCGGGCAUGCCUGUCCGAGCGUCAUUUCAACCCUCGAACCCCUCCGGGGGGUCGGCGUUGGGGAUCGGCACUUACCUGCCGGCCCCGAAAUACAGUGGCGGUCUCGCCGCAGCCUCUCCUGCGCAGUAGUUUGCACACUCGCACCGGGAGCGCGGCGCGUCCACGGCCGUAAAACAACCCAAACUUCUGAAAUGUUGACCUCGGAUCAGGUAGGAAUACCCGCUGAACUUAAGCAUAUCAAUAAGCGGAGGA